UUGCUGACGAGCGGCGGACGGGUGAGUAAUGCCUAGGGAACUGCCCAGUCGAGGGGGAUAACAGUUGGAAACGACUGCUAAUACCGCAUACGCCCUACGGGGGAAAAGAGGGGACCUUCGGGCCUUCUGCGAUUGGAUGUACCUAGGUGGGAUUAGCUAGUAGGUGAGGUAAUGGCUCACCUAGGCGACGAUCCCUAGCUGUUCUGAGAGGAUGAUCAGCCACACUGGGACUGAGACACGGCCCAGACUCCUACGGGAGGCAGCAGUGGGGAAUAUUGCACAAUGGGCGCAAGCCUGAUGCAGCCAUGCCGCGUGUGUGAAGAAGGCCUUCGGGUUGUAAAGCACUUUCAGCGAGGAGGAAAGGUUAAGUGUUAAUAGCACUUAGCUGUGACGUUACUCGCAGAAGAAGCACCGGCUAACUUCGUGCCAGCAGCCGCGGUAAUACGAGGGGUGCAAGCGUUAAUCGGAAUU
rnacentral:rRNA from 1 species